rnacentral:pre_miRNA from 1 species
AAAUGUUCAAGAGGAGCGUCAUGAGAACACAUCAAUUCACAUUUAAAUUUAAGUUAUCCUGUGUGUGAUGUGUUCUCAGGUCGCCCCUGCUGGACGUUU